rnacentral:rRNA from 1 species
UAGGGAAUCUUCGGCAAUGGGGGGAACCCUGACCGAGCAACGCCGCGUGAGUGAAGAAGGUUUUCGGAUCGUAAAGCUCUGUUGUUAAGGAAGAACGAGUGUGAGAAUGGAAAGUUCAUACUGUGACGGUACUUAACCAGAAAGGGACGGCUAACUACGUGCCAGCAGCCGCGGUAAUACGUAGGUCCCGAGCGUUGUCCGGAUUUAUUGGGCGUAAAGCGAGCGCAGGCGGUUAGAUAAGUCUGAAGUUAAAGGCAGUGGCUCAACCAUUGUAGGCUUUGGAAACUGUUUAACUUGAGUGCAGAAGGGGGGAGUGGAAUUCCAUGUGUAGCGGUGAAAUGCGUAGAUAUAUGGAGGAACACCGGUGGCGAAAGCGGCUCUCUGGUCUGUAACUGACGCUGAGGCUCGAAAGCGUGGGGAGCGAACAGGAUUAGAUACCCUGGUAGUCCACGCCGUAAACGAUGAGUGCUAGGUGUUAGGUCCUUUCCGGGACUUAGUGCCGCAGCUAACGCAUUAAGCACUCCGCCUGGGGAGUACGACCGCAAGGUU